rnacentral:rRNA from 1 species
GAUGAACGCUAGCUACAGGCUUAACACAUGCAAGUCGAACGAAGCACUUUAUUACGAUUUCUUCGGAAUGACGAUUUGGUGACUGAGUGGCGGACGGGUGAGUAACGCGUGGGUAACCUGCCUUAUACAGGGGGAUAACAGUUGGAAACGGCUGCUAAUACCGCAUAAGCGCACAGGGUCGCAUGACCUGGUGUGAAAAACUCCGGUGGUAUGAGAUGGACCCGCGUUGGAUUAGCUGGUUGGUGAGGUAACGGCUCACCAAGUCGACGAUCGGUAGCCGGACUGAGAGGUUGAACGGCCACAUUGGGACUGAGACACGGCCCAGACUCCUACGGGAGGCAGCAGUGGGGAAUAUUGCACAAUGGGCGAAAGCCUGAUGCAGCAACGCCGCGUGAGGGAAGACGGUUUUCGGAUUGUAAACCUCUGUUUUCGGUGACGAACAAAUGACGGUAACCGAGUAGGAAGCCACGGCUAACUACGUG